rnacentral:snRNA from 1 species
UACUGAAAACACACAUAUAUA